rnacentral:lncRNA from 1 species
GGAUCGUUUUUGCUUUGGUAUCGGUGAUGUAAAUUCAUGAAUUAAAAUUAAGGAUUUUGAAAAGAACGGGGAAGAACGCACUUGGAUUUAGGUUGUUUUUGAAAAGGAAAAACCAAAGAGGAAAUGAUACGUUUGCAGGAGCAUUAACUGACUACUGACUGGAACAUUGGAUGCGGGUGCUUUGUGAAGAUUUGUACUCCAAAAACUUUUUUUAAAAAUUGCACGUUGGUUCUUCAGAAGAGGAUGAGGUCAUUCAACC